UCGGAUCAUUUGCGGCGGAGG
rnacentral:siRNA from 1 species